GAUGAACGCUGGCGGCGUGCUUAACACAUGCAAGUCGUACGAAGCACUUAUCUUUGAAUCUUCGGAUGAAGAGGUUUGUGACUGAGUGGCGGACGGGUGAGUAACGCGUGGGUAACCUGCCUCAUACAGGGGGAUAACAGUUAGAAAUGACUGCUAAUACCGCAUAAGACCACGGAGCCGCAUGGCUCAGUGGGAAAAACUCCGGUGGUAUGAGAUGGACCCGCGUCUGAUUAGGUAGUUGGUGGGGUAACGGCCUACCAAGCCAACGAUCAGUAGCCGACCUGAGAGGGUGACCGGCCACAUUGGGACUGAGACACGGCCCAAACUCCUACGGGAGGCAGCAGUGGGGAAUAUUGCACAAUGGGGGAAACCCUGAUGCAGCGACGCCGCGUGAGCGAAGAAGUAUUUCGGUAUGUAAAGCUCUAUCAGCAGGGAAGAAAAUGACGGUACCUGACUAAGAAGCACCGGCUAAAUACGUGCCAGCCGCCGCCGUAA
rnacentral:rRNA from 1 species